rnacentral:rRNA from 1 species
CGGGGGGAGCAAGCGUUGUUCGGAUUUACUGGGCGUAAAGGGCGCGUAGGCGGCCACCGCAAGUCGACUGUGAAAUCUCCGGGCUUAACCCCGGAAAGGUCAGCCGAUACUGCGGGGCUAGAGUGCAGAAGGGGCAACUGGAAUUCUCGGUGUAGCGGUGAAAUGCGUAGAUAUCGAGAGGAACACCUGCGGCGAAGGCGGGUUGCUGGGCUGACACUGACGCUGAUGCGCGAAAGCUAGGGGAGCGAACGGGAUUAGAUACCCCGGUAGUCCUAGCCUUAAACGAUGAAUGCUUGGUGUCUGGGGUUUUAUAGUCCCCGGGUGCCGUCGCUAACGCUUUAAGCAUUCCGCCUGGGGAGUACGGUCGCAAGACUG